UUUUAAUGAGAGUUUGAUCCUGGCUCAGGACGAACGCUGGCGGCGUGCCUAAUACAUGCAAGUAGAACGCUGAAGGAGGAGCUUGCUUCUCUGGAUGAGUUGCGAACGGGUGAGUAACGCGUAGGUAACCUGCCUGGUAGCGGGGGAUAACUAUUGGAAACGAUAGCUAAUACCGCAUAAGAGUGGAUGUUGCAUGACAUUUGCUUAAAAGGUGCACUUGCAUCACUACCAGAUGGACCUGCGUUGUAUUAGCUAGUUGGUGAGGUAACGGCUCACCAAGGCGACGAUACAUAGCCGACCUGAGAGGGUGAUCGGCCACACUGGGACUGAGACACGGCCCAGACUCCUACGGGAGGCAGCAGUAGGGAAUCUUCGGCAAUGGACGGAAGUCUGACCGAGCAACGCCGCGUGAGUGAAGAAGG
rnacentral:rRNA from 1 species